rnacentral:rRNA from 1 species
AUGAUCACCAAAGUUAAGCAACAUUGAGCCUCAUCAGUAUCUAGAUGGGUGACCACUUGGGAAUACUAGGUGCUGUAAG